rnacentral:rRNA from 1 species
AUUCUGGCUGAUCCCGCCAGAGGGUCCCGCUAUCCGGGUUCGACUAAGCCAUGCGAGCCGUGGGUGCUCUUCAGAGUGCCCGGCGGACUGCUGCGUAAUACACGGUCAACCUACCCUCGGGAGGGGGAUAAUCUCGGGAAAACCUAGUCAUAGCUUUAAAUAGAUUGAUAAAUAAAAUUAAUCCACGAAUUCUGAGAUUAAAAUAUCAAAUGAAUAUUUAGCUGGAUUUUUCGAUGGAGAAGGAUCGGUCAUGAUAAGAUUCAGAAAAGAUAAAAGAUACAGAACAGGAAUACAAAUUUUAGCGAGAAUAAACAUUACUCAAUCAGAUAAAAAAGUUUUAGAAAAAAUAAAAAAAUUCACUAACUGUGGAAAUAUUUAUUUUAACAAACGUGAUAAUACAUGGUCAUUAGAUAUUUACAAAAUUGAUGAGCUUAUAAGAUUUACUGAAAGAAUAAAGGACAAAGUAAUAGUAAAAAGAAAAAUACUCAAAAAGUUUUAUUCAAUUCUCCUUAUGAUUAAGAAAAAAGAACAUCUUGAUAAAAAUAAAUUGAAAAAGAUAAAGAUGCUAUGGCUAGGUCCCGAAACUGAGGCUAAUACCCCAUAGGCCCUUGGUGCUGGAAGGCCCUUGGGCUCAAAGGCUCUAGCUUUGCUAGAGUGCCCGAGGAUGGGACCGUGGCCUAUCAGCCUGUUGGGGAGGUAACGGCUCCCCAAAGCGAUAACGGGUAGGGGCCAUGAGAGUGGGAGCCCCCAGAUGGGCUCUGAGACAUGAGCCCAGGCCCUACGGGGCGCAGCAGGCGCGAAAACUUCGCAAUCCGCGCAAGCGGGACGAGGGAACCCGGAGUGGCUCUGCUUUUAGCAGGGCCUUUUGCCCUCUGUAAACAGGAGGGCGAAUAAGCGGUGGGCAAGACGGGUGCCAGCCGCCACGGUAAUACCCGCGCCGCGAGUGGUACCCACGAUUAUUGGGCCUAAAGCGUCCGUAGCCGGCCUGGUAUGUCCUCGGUGAAAUCCUGCAGAAAACUGCAGGGUGUGCCGAGGAAACUACCGGGCUUGGGACCGGGAGAGGCCGAGGGUACUCCAGGGGUAGGGGUUAAAUCCUGUAAUCCCUGGGGGACCGCCAGUGGCGAAGGCGCUCGGCUGGAACGGGUCCGACGGUGAGGGACGAAAGCCAGGGGAGCAAACGGGAUUAGAUACCCCGGUAUUAGAGGGAGUAUCUUAUGAAAAAAAAAGAUGAUUUUGCUCCCCUAACGGGAAAGUCCUGGCCGUAAACGAUGCCCGCUUGCCGUUGCGAGCUUCUUGGGAGCUCGCAGUGGCGGAGCGAAGGUGUUAAGCGGGCCGCCUGGGGAGUACGCCCGCAAGGGUGAAACUUAAGGGAAUUGGCGGGGGAGCACACAAGGGGUGGGUGGUGCGGUUCAAU